AAAUGAAUAGACGGGGACUCGCACAAGCGGUGGAGCAUGUGGUUUAAUUCGACGCAACGCGAAAAACCUUACCAGGCCUUGACAUCCCUUUGACGGGUGUAGAAAUACGCCUUUUCCCUUCGGGGGACAGAGGAGACAGGUGGUGCAUGGUUGUCGUCAGCUCGUGUCGUGAGAUGUUGGGUUAAGUCCCGCAACGAGCGCAACCCUUAUCAUUAGUUGCUAACAUUAAGUUGAGAACUCUAAUGAGACUGCCAGCGACAAGUUGGAGGAAGGUGGGGAUGACGUCAAAUCAUCAUGCCCCUUAUGGCCUGGGCUACACACGUGCUACAAUGGCCGGUACAAAGAGUGGCGAUACCGCGAGGUGGAGCAAAUCUCAAAAAACCGGUCUCAGUUCAGAUUGUAGUCUGCAACUCGACUACAUGAAGUCGGAAUCGCUAGUAAUCGUAAAUCAGCAUGUUACGGUGAAUACGUUCUCGAGUCUUGUACACACCGCCCGU
rnacentral:rRNA from 1 species